rnacentral:rRNA from 1 species
GUCGAGCGGAUGAAGAGAGCUUGCUCUCUGAUUCAGCGGCGGACGGGUGAGUAAUGCCUAGGAAUCUGCCUAUUAGUGGGGGACAACGUUUCGAAAGGAACGCUAAUACCGCAUACGUCCUACGGGAGAAAGCAGGGGACCUUCGGGCCUUGCGCUAAUAGAUGAGCCUAGGUCGGAUCAGCUAGUUGGUGAGGUAAAGGCUCACCAAGGCGACGAUCCGUAACUGGUCUGAGAGGAUGAUCAGUCACACUGGAACUGAGACACGGUCCAGACUCCUACGGGAGGCAGCAGUGGGGAAUAUUGGACAAUGGGCGAAAGCCUGAUCCAGCCAUGCCGCGUGUGUGAAGAAGGUCUUCGGAUUGUAAAGCACUUUAAGUUGGGAGGAAGGGCAGUAAGUUAAUACCUUGCUGUUUUGACGUUACCGACAGAAUAAGCACCGGCUAACUUCGUGCCAGCAGCCGCGGUAAUACGAAGGGUGCAAGCGUUAAUCGGAAUUACUGGGCGUAAAGCGCGCGUAGGUGGUUCGUUAAGUUGGAUGUGAAAGCCCCGGGCUCAACCUGGGAACUGCAUCCAAAACUGGCGAGCUAGAGUAUGGCAGAGGGUGGUGGAAUUUCCCUGUGUAGCGNGUGAAAUGCGUAGAUAUAGGAAGGAACACCAGUGGCGAAGGCGACCACCUGGGCUAAUACUGACACUGAGGUGCGAAAGCGUGGGGAGCAGACAGGAUUAGA